AAGAUUUUCAGGCCUGAAACAUCUAGAAUUUUGGGAGCCUCUUUAAGAAAAAUAAUAACAGAUUAUGGAUAUGAAUGCCUGCAGCCCCCUUGAGAGAGUCCCUGCUAUUCAGGGCCGUGAAGCUUAAGCUCAUUAGCUUUAUGACGCAUAUGCUUCUGCACAGAAAUAAACCACUUUUGCAAAAGUAACUCUUGGCUGGGUUGGGCUGGGUUCAGCUGCUGAGAAAAGAGGGUUUGGCUUUAGAGCCAGAAAACGUCUGGAGAAAGCAGAAUUGGGACAAAAUGCAGAUUGGUUAUUUCAAAGUUACUUUCCUUUGAAGGAGAAAACAGAGAGGACUUUUAAAUUAAACUGACUCAGGUUGACUGGGAUCUCCUGGGUUUUUUUUUUUUUUUUUUUUUUUUUUUUUUGGAAAGCUGACCCAUUUCAAAGUUCAGUUUAAUUAUGUGGCACUUAGCACAAGUGACUCCAUUCUCCUUGGGUCUGAUGCCGGGGGGGCCUCAGGCAGGUGGUUAAUCCAAACUAAUGACCUCCCAUAAAAUUUGUUGAACACAGGUGUUUUUACAAGAGGCACACAAAAGAGAGACACAGAGAGAAGAUGAGAAGACUGAGGCAGACAUUGGAAUGACGCAACCAGGAGCCAAGGAAUGCCUGGAUCCAUGGGAAGCAGAAGAGGCUUUCUCACCAUGUGAUGCAUUCUGCUAUGUUAUGAUACAGCAAGAAGGGCCUCACAAGAUGUGACCUCUUGUUCUUGGACUUCUCAGCCUCCAGAAUCAUGAGAGGGAGUGAGAGAAGUCAAACCUCUACCAGACUAGACAGAAUUUGCAUGUCUAUCUCUUACCUCCCCUCUUUGAGCCGAAGGACUAGAGGAACAAAAGACUCAGCCCCAAGGUUAUCCGCUGCUGCUGCCCCCGAGACAGUAAGACCGACUCCUCCUCUUUCUCCUCCUCUUCAUCCUACUCUAUGUGAAGACAAGAAUGAAGAUCUUUGUGACGAUCCACUUCCAGUGAAUGAUUAGUAAAUAUAUUUUCUCUUUCUGAUGAUAUUCUUAAUAAUAUUUUCUUUUCUCUAGCUUACUUCAUUGUAAGAAUCAGUUUAUCAUACAUAUAAUACACAAAUAUGUGUUAAUUGACUGUUUAUGUUAUCACUGAGGCGCCUGGUCAACAGUAGGCUUUUAGUAAAGUUUUUGGGGAUUGAAAAGUUAUAAUUGGAUUUUCAACUGUGCAGGGGUUUGGCAUCCUUAACUCCCGUGUUGUUCAAGCGUCAGCUGUAUUACUGAAUAAAAUACAGAUAAAAUAAAACCAAAUUAAGCCUUUUAAAUUAAGAAUGUAAUCACUAAGAGACUGUGGUCAACAAUGGAGGUCAUGACAAUAAAAUUCUGCUUUUGUUAUUUAUCCAAGUUACAUUUUUUCAUUCAUCUCCUCAGUCAGCAACAAAUACUUCUUCAGUACUUUGUGUCAGUUCUGCAGUCUACUAGGCACUGAUCCUCUCCCAAAAAUACAAUGGAAUGGUUUCUUUGUAGCUGGCAUCCUUUACAAUGUUUAAAUUCUUGGGACAUCCUGGACUGUAAGGGAAACAAAUAUUUCCAAUAGGAUGAAGAUAAAACUAUAUUUAAAGAUAAAGAAUUGUGGCAUGUUUGGUUACCUACUCAAUAUUCAUUUCACCUUCUUUCCUAUAAAGAGGAUCUUGAUUGUGUUCAGACAGUAACACACCCAGAACCUCAGGUCAUGAUCAUGAGAUCCUGUUGUCUCUUUUGUUAUUUCCCUUGUAGCUAAGAGUAUCCACGUGACCUGGACCUGGGUGAGUGGGUCCUAGAAAAAUUUUUGCUUUCUUGCUACUCUUCCUUCUUCUCACUGGAAUGUAAAUGUAAAGGGUGGAGCUGCAGCAGCCAUCUUGCUAUCACAAAAGAAAGACUGAGAGAACAGCAGAAGAGUUGACCUUAAUGUUGUUGAACCACUGAAUCAACGCUGUAAACAAUCUAUCUCCAAAAUUCUUGGUAUGUGAGAAACUAAACUACUGUUUAUUUAAGUUGGGUUGUCUGUUAAGUGCAGCUGAAUGUCUUCCUAAUUGAUACAGAAAUGCAUUUAAAAAAUAGCAUGCACACUUUUUAGUAUGAGCUAAGAAAAUGAGUAAGAACACAGCACAUUGAACCCAAUUUUGCAUUUGCAAUCCCCAAAGAACCCUGGUACACUUUUGUAGAAUAUUAAUGUGAAACCUAAGUUUGGGGAAUGUCUCUGAUGAGAAGUUGGGAAACAGAAAUAGAUGAGACCUAUCUAUGGUGCAAAGAUAAAUUUUGGUUAGAAAGAAAAGAGCAAGAACAUGCACAAAAAUGUGUGGCAGAACCAGGCUGUGGGCAGGAACCAGAGGAGCUGUCUACUAUGGUUGUAUUUAAUAUGACUGCUGAGGACAAAGCUCUGAUUUUUUUAUCUGGCCCAAAUUCCUAUCUAAGGUGUCUGGAGAGUCAUGCCUUACAAACCAUACAUUCUCAUCAGAUGGGUUUUAUUUAACCCCAUAUAUUGUGACUUUCCAAUCUGACUCUGGCAUAAUAUUAUGUGACAAAAAAGAAAGUCAAAAUAUUUUACUCCAAAACAUCUUUCUUUGUCUUAUUUUGAAAUGGCCCUGCAAAUGUGUCCUUUGUGGGGGGAAAUUUAUACCUGUAAAGAAUCUCUAUUAACAUAGCUAUAUCUUUUUCUUCCUGGCCCUCCCAAUCCUAAAGAGAUUGAGUAAGAGUCUAGCACCUUUUAAAGGUCUGAAUAGGAAACAUUUGUCAUCUAUUCCCCCGAAGAACAGCCACUGUAAGACUUCAAAAGAACUGUGGUCUGCACAAUCUUUUAUCUUAACCUGAACAUUUCUUUUCUAUGGAACCCAGGUCUUUAGACAAACUCAACCAAUUGUCAACCAGAAAAUGUUUAAAUGUUUCUAUAGCCUGGAAGCCGCCUCCUCCCCACCACCAUCCCAUUCCACUUUGAGUUGUCUGGUUUUUCUAGACCAAACCAAUGUAUUUCUUAAAUGUAUUUGUUUGAUGUCUCAUGCCUCCCUAAAAUGUACAAAACCAAGCUGUGUCCAACCACCUUGGGCACAUGUCCUCAGGACCUUCUGAGGGCUGUGUCACCAGAUGUGGUCAUUCAUAUUUGGCUCAGAAUAAAUCUCUUCAAAUAUUU
rnacentral:lncRNA from 1 species